GACCCUCUCCGCCAUUUAAAGAAACAGUACCGGGGGCGGGCCGAGCGACGCAGCCGGGACGGUAGCUGCGGCGCGGACCGGAGGAGCCAUCUUGUCUCGUCGCCGGGGAGUCAGGCCCCUAACUCGAAGACGCCCUGGCGCGCCCUCCCCCCCUCCCCGGUCUGGUAGGGCGAAGGAGCGGGCGCGCGGUCGAUCGAGCGAUCGGUUGGCGGCUCUUUCUCCUGCUCUGGCAUCCGGCUCUUGGGGCGCAGGCCCGGCCGCCGCGGCGCGCGCCCGGUGGCCGUUGGCGCUCGCGCCGCGUCUUUCUUCUCGUACGCAGAACUCGGGCGGCGGCCUAUGCGUUUGCGAUUCGACGAGGAGUCGUCCGGGUGGUUGGCGGUGGCGGGCAGCUGCUCCGCCCCGCUCCCGGGGAGGCGGCGGCGGCGGGAUUUGGCGCGGCCGGGGAGGCGGGGGUGGCCGGGGCCGGCGUGGAGGCCUGGCGCCACCCUUCGGGGCCUGCAAGGACCCAGUUGGGGGGCCAAGAGGGGGCUGGGGGAUGGUUGGUGGUGGGCUUUCUACUUUGUCUUUUCCUUCUCAUGCCCCCUUAGUGAGGGGCGGGAGCUUUGGCGGCAGCUCCGGGGUGGGGAGACAAGCCCCGGAGUCGGAAGAGCUGGGUUUGCUUCCGGGCCUAGCCACCAGCUGGCCGAGUGACCUUAGGCAAAUCACUCUGUAAUUUGUCAGCGCCUCAGUUUCCUCCUCUGCUUAUCAAUGUUUGUGGGGUUGAAAGCGCUUUAUAAGCUAUAAAGCGUCGGUGUACGUAAGGGAUGAUUAUUGUUUGUAAUGGGGUUUUUUUGAGUUGAAAGAAAAGUUAGCAAUUGCCCAGUUCUUGGAUUUUGAACCUGGGAACCUUGGCUUGGAGUUGGAAGCCCCAAAGUUCCCCCGAAAUUGUAUGCAGAAAGAGUGGGAGUUGUGCAUUUGGGGGAAUGAGGAUCCAUCGUCAGCAAGUUUUCAAAAGGGGGCUGUGACUCAAGAGAGUUAAGAUCUACAAUUCAUUUAUGCCACAGGGAGGAAACUGAGGCCUAGAUAUCAUUUGGGACCCUUCACAACCGAAUUGAAGCCCCUGUUUGAAUCCCUGGGAUAUGUGAGCUGUUUCUAUGCAUAAUGAAUAUUUGGGAUAACACUCCACUGCUUGGCUUCUAUUCUGAGUCCUUUCAUUUUACCAUGGGGUGCCUGAAGGGUGGCUGAUGUGUAUGGUAUCGUUUAAUGGCACCCAAUAUAAAGCAGCUAAAACUAGAAAUGGAUGUGUUCCCUAGUAUCAAGAAGACUAUUUAAUCUUUGGCCCAACAAUUCUUGGUUUUCUGCUGCUUAUACUGGUGCCUAACUACCUUUCUCUUUCAUUGACCAUUUUCCACGACCAUGGUUGUCAUCCAUUACUUGCUUUUAUUUUAUAUCCUUAGUCUCUGCGGUUGGUGGUGAGCAGGCUUAUUUUUAAAUGGUGCUGCGGAGUCCGACUAAGUAAUGGUGCAGGUGGAAUUUUAGCAAGCUGGCUCACUGGAACAGACUAAACCAGUCAUGGAAUUCCUGAAGAUAUUUGGGGGUUUAUCUUUAUUAGUUGAAGGUUAACGUUCUCCGAAGUUUUGUUACGACUUCUGCUGAACUUCAAAAUCAGUAGAUUUGGAAGUGCUUCAGUGCUUACCUUUUUCCUGGCCUGCUUUGUAUUCUAUUUGCUUGCAAGUGUGUUACUAAGGUGGCCUAGAUGCCAGUUAUUGGUUCUUUGUUAAUUGUCAGCUGCUUUAUCAAAUUACAGGCCAUUAUCCAGCAAACACUAUAGAAAUGUUUGAACAGUUGUAUUUCAAACAUUUUCUUUUUGUGGAGUGGUGCUUACCAGUGGUACAGCUCUAAGCAAGUGAACAUAAAUACAUAUAAGUGUAUUUUGUCUGGUUAGGUGUUCACCUGUUUUGUUAUUUCAAUGUUAUAUACAAAUGUCUGAGAAAACCAAUUGACUCUUCCUUUUACGUAAAGGGCAGAGACAAAUGAUCUCACUUCCAGAGAAAUGACUGUUGUAGAGAAAAACGUGUUGGUCUUUCAGCUCCUUUGUUAUUAUCUGGAUGUACCUCAAAAGAAUCUUAAGACUGUGGUGAUCUUAUAAGAUGGUUUCCUCAGGAGAAAGGAGGAAAAAAACAACUGGAACUCAAAAGCUUGAAAUUCUGUGACAAAACACAAGAUGUCCAGGAUAGGAGGCCGAAAAGGUUUCACUACAGUGUUCUGCACUAGCUGCAGCAGAUGCUUUUCUGUGUAGCCACGGCAUAGACUCCAGAUUUCCAGAUUUUUAAGAACUGCACCUGGGACCUGAAGAACUCGUCAGGAUGUGACAGGGACUCUGGAGCUGAACAUAUUUGUUUUUGAGUUUGGAGGCUGUUGACCUUGCUUUGAGAAGAGACAACAACAGAGCAAGCACUGCCACCAGCGCUAUUACUGGGAAUUUGAAAACCUGAGUUUCUGCCAGAGCUUCAGUGCAAGUUCUAGUGAUGCUCCAUCCAAAGUGAACUACGUCCUGUGCCUCCUGAUUGCUGAGUGUUCACCUGGACCUUCUGACCACCUCCCUUGUACUGUUCCAUCAGCCUACAGAUCUGGUACCUGGAUUUUUGCCCAUGGUGAUUCCUUCACCUUACUGCUGAAGAAGACACCAUUCCAGUGGACCACUGUGAUCCAAGAGGCAUUCAGCCAUCAUGAUGUGGCCUUCACCUCCACUCCUCUCCUGUUCUAUCCAGAUUCAGCACCGCCCUUUAUAGUGAAGUCAAACUAUUCAAGCCAAAUAGCUGAAGCUAUUUUAUCACAGCAAAGGCCCAGUUCGUUCCAUGAGUGUGCAUUUCAUUUCGUCAGUUAAAGCCUCAGACACACAUAAUAAAUUUGGACCAGGGGAUUUUUAGUUAUCAACACUGAAGAAUGGCAGCAUCUUUCAAGAACGGCGUUGGAUCAUACCCUACAACUUCAAAUGAUUGCAAUUCAUGAAGUGUCUAGUGCCCUAUCCAGGUCACUGGACCCUUUCUUUUUCUAUUUCAAGUCUGUAGUAGCCUACUGAAUAGAAAGCAGAUAUUCUGACCAGCAGAUACUGGGAUUAAAACAAAGGCACAGUGAACUCACAGCAUUUUUGGGAUUACUCAGGAACCAGAACUUUUCACACAAAUGUAAGAAAUUCUACCAAGGAAUCCCUUUAUCUAACAGCAUCUCACAAAGCUCCAAUCAGAUUCCAGAAAAGACCUCUUGAUACAUCCAGGUAGAACCUAUAAUGGUAAUCCCUUAAUGUUUAUAUAGCACUUUAUAGUUUCAAAGCACUUUUACAUGCAUAAAUCUCAAUUAUCAAAAUAACACAGUAAAUUAUAAUUUCUUUAUGCAAAUGAGAAAAUUGAAGUUUAAAAGAUUGUCCAGGGUGACACAGCUACAAAGUGGUAGAGGUCAGGCCUUCUGACUCCCAGUCCAGUUCUCUCCAUGGAAUUAACUUAGCCUCUACUUUACCUGCAGUGUUAAAAUGACUGGAGUUUGGUAACCCAAAAAAAGUUUCCAACUUCCUGAUCUGGUGCCCUCAGUCAAUCAGGAUGUCAUAAGAGUAAUCUUAUGAUGGUUCCAUAUAGGUCAGAAUUCCAUGGUACUACCCUUAAGGUUUAAGAGCAGACUGUCUCCAUAGUGGUAGGUUUAUCCAGUCAACAUGGCACAUGGUCAUCUGACAGACUACAUAACGUGAAAUAGAAAGAUACUUCUAGAUCCAUUGUUCAUAUAGUCUUCCCAAAUUUCCAAAUGGCCUAAUUGGAAAUCCUUUUUAAUGUUUUGUUCUUUUUAAAAUUAAAAAAAAAAAAGUCUUAUUAAUACUUUUGAAAACUGAAAUCUUAUUUAUGGUCCUCUGUUCCUCAAAAUUUACUUAAAAUGAAUCCUCUGUUUUUUAGAGCAGUGCUGUUCACAUAUGUGUGCGUGUAUGCAUGUAUAUGGUGCACACAUACAACAUCUAUAUGUAGAGCUUCUGUAGUCCUGUAAGGUGGUAAAAUAGGUGUCCCGUUCCCCAACUGAGUGUAGCAUAUUAAAGGAUCUCAGAAGGCUUGCAACAAAGCCUCAUUGAGCUGUUUAGCCCAGUGUGUACUAAGUUUAAUCAAGGACAGACUAAUUUUUGGAGCAUUCCUUUUAAUGUAUUUAGAGAAACUGCUUUGGAGCAGUAUAGCCAGUGCUUCCUGAUUGCCCUAAAGACUUAGGAGUAACGGAAUCUUUGAAACCACCACCCCCUUUUUUUGUCAGUAACUGCUUGAAUUUGUAUGUCUUUAUCAUCGGGGAGUCCUACAUCUUGACCAUUACUUCUUAUUUUCUGUGAAAGGAACUGCUAGAAAAUUUGUGGAGAUAUAGGAAGGGAAUGGGGAAGUUUAUUUUGCCCCCCAAAUUGGUUGAAUUCCGUGACACUUAACAAUAUACUUCUCUGUCCGUAAAAUUGUGCUAUAAACCUAGUUCAAGGGCAUUGUAUCUCAGGUGGGUGAGAAGAUUGGGAAGGGAAGGGAAGAGGAAAAGGAUGGAGGGAGAAAAGGGGGAGGAGAAUAAUAUUUUCUUGGAAUUUGAGUUGUGGCUCAUUGAGAUCUUCACAGUGAUUGAAGAGAAGUCAUCUAGCCAUAGACUUGGGAUAAUAUUUGCAAAGAAAUGAAAGCAUUUUGCAGCUGUAUGCUGACUGCAAAAAUCCCAGUGCUAUUGUUGCUUAAAACCAAUAGCUUUGUUCACUGAUAGUCACAAACACAAUUUGAAGCAAUCAGAAUUUAUAGCAGAGUUGAAUGUUAACUUCAUCAUUCUGUAAUGUGGCCCAUCUUAGGGAAAGAAUGAAUAGGAAAACACCUUGGCUUACCACAGGCUUUGCUCACAGUUUCUGGUUUCUGUGACCUAUUUUUUGUAUUUCAGCAUUUUGUGAACAACUUACUCUUAGAUCAUUGGUUUUCCAAAGGCUUUGUGACCAUGAAGCCCUUUCAAUGAAAACUGUGUGGAACCCCAGAAUAAAAGAGAAGCUGCUGUAGAUGAAGCAGGAGUGGGGGGCCUGAAACGUGCCACAAGCAUCUUCCUUUACCACCAUGGUGACCCCUAAGGAGACUUCUUUACAACACCUAGAAUUCUUCAGAACACAGUUUGGAAACCACUGCCCUAGACAACAUGUGCAACCUGAAUGGCAUUCUGAUCCAUACCUCUACCCAACCCAGUCCAUGUUCAGUUGAUAACUGCAUGUUCUUAGAAAUACUUACUGUGGGCAAAGUCAGAAAAGUGCAAGAAGAUGGGCAUAUCUUUGCUACCCCAGGGUAGUCAAGUAAGCUGAAAGUGGUAUCAAAUGGACAUAGAUUAACAGCCCUGUACCCAAGAUGGAUUUCAAAAGAGUGGUUCCUGGCAUUCAGUAUAGUCAGAACAAUCCAUACGUACUCUACACUGAUAUUCCCCUUACCCAACUUCUAUCACAAACACCAGAUGCUCUAGUGGUACUUGAAGUACAUAACUUUGACGUCUUGAUCUCCUUGGAUACCUGAAUUGCCAGGUAUUGAAGCUGGCACUAAAGUUGAUGAUGCCUCAUUGAGGCCACAUUAGACCAACUUGUACAUCGGACCUCCCAUCAUCAGCCAUGGUACUCUACUUCGUGUGCAAGGGAUAACCAUUAACGAUGAAAGCAGAACUGAAAUUCUGGCAACAUUACCUAAAAAGGUACCUGGUUAUUCAUAUUAUUCUCAAAACUGCAAGUCACUAUGACUCAACCAGUGGCAGUUAUGCUGCUCCUUGGUUUUUAUUCAGUUUAACUGCUGUUUCCAGGAUAAAUGAGCUAAUAAACUUAAACAAAAUUUCUUCCAUCACUGGCAUACCUGCUACAAAACUAUGAAUUCUCUGCUCUAACUACAUGUAACAUCUGAUCCACAAGAGACAAUUUUUGAACAUCCUCUCAUGUAUGUGAUUUUAAAUGUGACCCUUUGGAAAUUUUUCUUCUAACCAAUGAGAGAUGUUCUUUUAUGAUGGACCUUUUGAUGUUGGUAGGUACCAUCAGCUACAGGUGUUAGGGAUAUUUGGAGGUAGGCCUUUUGACUAGGCCAUAGUAGCUUGCUUGCUGGGCAUCUCAAGUUGCAUAUCUACCUUUUUGGUGAAAAUGUAGACUUGAAAAAAAAAUCUACAAAGCCUGCAGCUAAGAAUUUUAUCAGUAGACUCAAGAGCUUCCUGCAGCUUCUAAUGUCACAAGACCACAGUGUCUUGUCCUUGUGGAUAUUUAAAUGGAAUUUCAUCUGUCUCAAUACUGUUAUUUUACACUGAUUCAGAGUGGCUGACUUCAUUCAUUGCUAUGAGAUAACUCUCAGGCAUUAAGACACUUGACCUGUUUCUGCAGGAUGGAUUCAAUUUAUGAACUCCCACACCAGAUCAUGUCAAACAAGUAGACUUCGACUUUUGUCAUGAGAAAAGUCUUAUUCUCUUACUUCACAGUCUACUUAAGGGGCAGCUGUCCUCAACUACUUUAAUGAAUGCACUGGCUAAAUGUUGGGAAUUAUUUCUUUAUAUCUUUGUCUCUUAUUCUCUAACCCUGAUUACAUGACUCUGUCUACAAAUCAUCAAAUAAGGCCUGCACAUCCUCACCUAAUAGAAAUCUAAUGAUUAGCUGCUUGUAUAUACAACUGUUGUUUAUUAUUAAGAAGUUCUCUACAAACUCCAUUUUUCUACUGCCUUCAAAACGUCAGCUCAAUUUUCUCUUUCUCCUGUACUUUACAGAAAAAGACAUUGAUAUACACUGCCAGUCAUUCCCUUUAAUUCUGUCAAACGCAGGCAAAAUGAGGGGCUUAAGGUGAGGAUGAUCAUCUGUUCAAAAGUCUAACAUACUCUGUGUAUAAGAAUCAGUAGUUGAAAAUGCAGAAAGCCUAAAGCUCAAACUUAGGAUCUUACCUACUGUCUCCCUGCCUCAGAUCUCAAUAUAAAUCUCUUAGCAGCACCACUCAACCAAUCUAAGGCCUUGUUUAAAAGCUGAUUCUCAGAGAUGGACUAAGUUUCAGAAGAUGGAGGCUUGAUUACCAAAGAGAGUAGGGCCAACCUUGAUGAACCUGGCUCUCCCAGCCUUGUCAUUCCCAGAUGUAGCAUAGACUCCUCAACAGAACCUCAAGUCUGAAUUGAGAAUAUAGCCUUCUAUUGAGCUGAAAGUUAUUGGGCAGAUAAACAGGAAAAUUAAAGCUGCUAUACCUGACUGGCCCUUUAAGAUCAGAAAAUGGUAUCCAAAGUCAACCAUAUGGAAUAACCCUGGAAGACUCAGGGUAAAAGCUAAUUUACAGAGCUUCUAUUAAUCUGCCCAUUCUUCUAGAUCACAUCCUGGCUAUUGGUGUGGCUAACCUGCUGAAGAUAUCCUAUUUACCUGUUUACCUGACUCAGGCUCAUCUGCCUUUUUGACACGUUGCAAUCAGACUGGCCGUGCUUGAGAAGACUGCAACUGGUAUCAGCCUAUCUUACACCCAGUUCCACCAGGGGAUUUUGAACAGAAGCAACCUGCACCUCACCUUCUUCCCACCCCCAGGACUUACUGUUAACAACUGGAAGGACCAUGCUAUAUACUCCUUAACCAGCAGCCUUUUUUUUUUUUUUUAAGUUCAGAGUAAGCCUCUAUGCCUAUAUACAUGUGAUCAUUUUCAGCACCUGAGACCCCUUCUACCAGAUUUUAAGGAGUACAGCAGAUUACAAGCACUGUCCAUUUCUCUCUUCUGCAAUAAUACAGAGUUGACAGAAAUGUACCAUUUCAACUUAGCAAAAGACUAAAGAAACACAAGAAGAGCUUUCCAGUGAACUUAAAAUUUACCACUGGCUUCACUAGUCUAACAGAACUAUUUGCCAGUGGGAGGCUAAUUGUCCUGCUUCAUGUCAGCAAGAUGGUUGGGCUCUCAGAUUCAAGGCCACUGAGUUUACUUAUAUUGAAACUUUAUUGCAUCAUCCAAAGUAUGCUAUUGGAUAUGAUUAUUCCAUUCAAAUGGAUUACAAGCUUCCUAAGUAUAGGACAAGCUUACUCUUCAUGAUGUUUUUUCAGAAUACUUUUAUUGUCAAGAAAAUAACAAUGCCAGCUGUUAGGCUUAAGCCUAACCUUAAGCUUCAUGGGUGGAUAUGUAAUUCAGACCUGAUCAAUCAACAUAGUCCUUCUCCUUCACCGUAGUGAUUGGUUCUGGAACAGCCAGGUGAUUCAAGCUGGUCCAGUGAUAACUCAGCCCUAGGAGUUUUACUGAAAUGUGAAGGAGAGGCUCAGAAGCUCUCUUUACUGAGAUUCCUUGGCUUUGUAGUAUGAAAACUUCUAACCAACAGGCCCCACCAAAUCAAAUGAGCCAGAGAAUUAAGCCAGUGCAAAGGAAAGCAGAGCCAAAUGAUGGAGAGACUUCAGUCCUGAUGACAAUGUUUGUGCCCCUGGAUCCAACCGUGCCUGAAGCUAGUUUAUCCCUAUGGACUUUUCAGUUAUGUGAGCCAAUAAAUACCCUUUUUUGCUUUAAGUUA